rnacentral:rRNA from 1 species
GACGAACGCUGGCGGCGUGCUUAACACAUGCAAGUCGAACGGAAAGGCCCUGCUUUUGUGGGGUGCUCGAGUGGCGAACGGGUGUGUAACACGUGUGUAACCUGCCCUUGACUUUGGUAUAACUUCAGGAAACUGGGGCUAAUCCCGGAUCGGAGCUCCUGCUGCAUGGUGGGGGUUGGAAAGUUUCGGCGGUUGGGGAUGGACUCGCGGCUUAUCAGCUUGUUGGUGGGGUAGUGGCUUACCAAGGCUUUGACGGGUAGCCGGCCUGAGAGGGUGACCGGCCACAUUGGGACUGAGAUACGGCCCAGACUCCUACGGGAGGCAGCAGUGGGGAAUAUUGCACAAUGGGCGGAAGCCUGAUGCAGCAACGCCGCGUGCGGGAUGACGGCCUUCGGGUUGUAAACCGCUUUCGCCUGUGACGAAGCGUGAGUGACGGUAAUGGGUAAAGAAGCACCGGCUAACUACGUG